UUUUGUGACACUAAUGUGCAGUAGACCAAUUCUACUGUGCAUUAACGCAGUCACACGGUUUUUGCCUGCCACGCUAAUGUGCAGUAGAAUUAGUUUAGUGCACAUUUAUGGCUCGUGUAGAUGUGCCCAUUAUGACAAUGUGGUUUGCA